UACAGAGGGGGCCAGCGUUAUUCGGAAUUAUUGGGCGUAAAGGGCGCGUAGGCGGCCAUGCGUGUCUUCCGUGAAAUCCCUCGGCUUAACCGAGGACGUGCGGAAGAAACUGCAAGGCUCGAGUCCGGAAGAGGGGGGCGGAAUUCCCAGUGUAGCGGUGAAAUGCGCAGAUAUCAGGAGGAACACCGGUGGCGAAGGCGGUUCUCUAGUACGGUACUGACGCUGAGACGCGAAAGCGUGGGGAGCGAACAGG
rnacentral:rRNA from 1 species